UUUUAAUAUAUCUAGUUUUUUAAGAAAUAAAUUUAAUUUAGAUAACUUAUUUUAAUAAUUUAAUUUUAUAAAUCAUUAUAAUGAGUUAUUAAUAUUUUAAGGGAUGAGCUUUAAAAUAAAAUUUUAUAAAUAACUUUUAUUAAGUAAUAAUUGUAAGCUUAGAAUUAGCUAUCAAUAGAAAUUAUGUUUUAAUUUAUUUUUUAAUUAAUAUUAUUUAUUAUUUAUUUUAAAUUUUUUAUUAAAAUAUAAAUUUUAAUCUUUUAAAUUUAUUAAUAAUGAUAAAAUUAGUAAAUUAAAUAAUUAUAUAAAUAAAUCUAUAUUUUGAUUGGUUUUUAUAAUUAAUUCGGCAAAUUUUGUGUUCACCUGUUUAUCAAAAACAUGUCUUUUUGGUUAAUUAAUAUAAAGUCUGACCUGCCCACUGAAUAUAUUUUGAAGGGCCGCAGUAUUUUGACUGUGCAAAGGUAGCAUAAUCAUUAGUCUUUUAAUUGAAGGCUGGUAUGAAUGGUUGGAUGAGGUACAAGCUGUGUCAUAAAAAUUAUUUUUUGAAUUUACCUUUUUAGUCAAAAGGCUAAAAUAAAGUUAAAAGACGAGAAGACCCUAUAGAGCUUUAUAUAAUUUAUAUUUAAAUUAUUAAGAUUUUUUAAAUUUAAUUAUAUUAUUAUAUUUUGUUGGGGUGACAAUAAAAUUUAUAAAUCUUUUAUUUUUAUUAAUGAUUUAUUUAUGUUUAUAUGAUCCAGUUUUAUUGAUUAUAAAUUUAAGUUACCUUAGGGAUAACAGCGUAAUUUUUUUUGAGAGUUCUUAUCGACAAAAAAGAUUGCGACCUCGAUGUUGGAUUAAGAGUAAUUUUGGGUGUAGAAGUUCAAAGUUUAAGUCUGUUCGACUUUUAAACUCUCACAU
rnacentral:rRNA from 1 species